rnacentral:rRNA from 1 species
UAUCCCACGGGGGGCAGCAGUGGGGAAUAUUGCACAAUGGGGGGAACCCUGAUGCAGCGACGCCGCGUGGGUGAAGAAGUCAUUCGUGACGUAAAGCCCUAUCAGCAGGGAAGAAAAUGACGGUACCUGAAGAAGAAGCCCCGGCUAACUACGUGCCAGCAGCCGCGGUAAUACGUAGGGGGCAAGCGUUAUCCGGAAUUAUUGGGUGUAAAGGGUGCGUAGACGGGAAAACAAGUUAGUUGUGAAAUCCCUCGGCUUAACUGAGGAACUGCAACUAAAACUAUUUUUCUUGAGUGCAGGAGAGG